rnacentral:rRNA from 1 species
GGAAUAUUGCACAAUGGGGGAAACCCUGAUGCAGCGACGCCGCGUGAGUGAAGAAGUAUCUCGGUAUGUAAAGCUCUAUCAGCAGGAAAGAUAAUGACGGUACCUGACUAAGAAGCCCCGGCUAUCUACGUGCCAGCAGCCGCGGUAAUACGUAGGGGGCAAGCGUUAUCCGGAUUUACUGGGUGUAAAGGGGGCGCAGACGGCGAUGCAAGCCAGGAGUGAAAGCCCGGGGCCCAACCCCGGGACUGCUCUUGGAACUGCGUGGCUGGAGUGCAGGAGGGGCAGGCGGAAUUCCUGGUGUAGCGGUGAAAUGCGUAGAUAUCAGGAGGAACACCGGUGGCGAAGGCGGCUUACUGGACUGUAACUGACGUUGAGGCUCGAAAGCGUGGGGAGCAAAC